GGAAUCUUGGACAAUGGGGGAAACCCUGAUCCAGCGACGCCGCGUGGGUGAUGAAGGCCUUCGGGUUGUAAAGCCCUUUCGACGGGGACGAUGAUGACGGUACCCGGCGAAGAAGCAUCGGCUAACUCCGUGCCAGCAGCCGCGGUAAGACGGAGGAUGCAAGUGUUAUCCGGAAUCACUGGGCGUAAAGCGUCUGUAGGUGGUCCAGUAAGUCAACUGUUAAAUCUUGAGGCUCAACCUCAAAACCGCAGUCGAAACUAUUGGACUAGAGUAUAGUAGGGGUAAAGGGAAUUUCCAGUGGAGCGGUGAAAUGCGUAGAUAUUGGAAAGAACACCGAUGGCGAAGGCACUUUACUGGGCUAUUACUGACACUCAGAGACGAAAGCUAGGGUAGCAA
rnacentral:rRNA from 1 species